UAUGUUUAAUUUAACAUAUUAAAUUAAUUAUAUUACUUUCACAGAUUAGACAAAAUCUGUACUCCAUUUUCAAUAUUGAGGAGGUAGAAGAAGCCUUAUACCAUACAAAUUUGGAGAAAGAAAUCCAGAACUGGAGAAUGAACAUUAGCGACUCUGAAUAUUUCUCGACCCCCUUCCAGAAGAGACCACCAUCUACUUUGUCGGGAAGAAAUCUAGACCCGAGUUGGCAAAUUUCUCAACAAAGUGCAAAAACAAUUUAAUCAUAUUUUUGAAAGAAUGUGCAAAAUCUAAUUCCGUGCAACUGUGCAAAUUUUUGAAACACAUAUUCAUUUUAUCUGAAGACAGAAAAAAAUAUAACAACAUUGAAAAUAAAACCAAAGUAGAAAUAAUAAACGUAGUGCAGUCUGAGAUGCAGAAAUUGAAAAAAUUGGAUUUUGACAUGGCUGAUGAGAAGUCCAAAGAGUGGGGAAAAAUAAAAACAGAGAAAAAAUCUAUGCUUAUAAAAUUUUAUAAAGAACUGGUGCAACUUUUAGAGGAAAUUGAAGAUCGCGAGGAAGAGGUAGAAGAGGAUAUAUCACUGAAAGAUGCGGAUUAGACCUGCUCUGCAUCUUACCUUUAGAUUGCAACCAUUAUUUCCGGCGACAUUGCACGGGAUCACGCACAUGAAGAAUG